rnacentral:rRNA from 1 species
CACGCUGGCGGCGUGCCUAAUACAUGCAAGUAGAACGCUGAAGGAGGAGCUUGCUCUUCUGGAUGAGUUGCGAACGGGUGAGUAACGCGUAGGUAACCUGCCUGGUAGUGGGGGAUAACUAUUGGAAACGAUAGCUAAUACCGCAUAAUAACAGUUGUUGCAUGACAACUGUUUGAAAGGUGCAAUUGCAUCACUACCAGAUGGACCUGCGUUGUAUUAGCUAGUUGGUGGGGUAACGGCUCACCAAGGCGACGAUACAUAGCCGACCUGAGAGGGUGAUCGGCCACACUGGGACUGAGACACGGCCCAGACUCCUACGGGAGGCAGCAGUAGGGAAUCUUCGGCAAUGGACGAAAGUCUGACCGAGCAACGCCGCGUGAGUGAAGAAGGUUUUCGGAUCGUAAAGCUCUGUUGUAAGAGAAGAACGAGUGUGAGAGUGGAAAGUUCACACUGUGACGGUAUCUUACCAGAAAGGGACGGCUAACUACGUG